CCUUAUCCCAUCUGUUUGCUUAAUUCAGGAUUCUGAAACAUGUUCAGUGAAUAGAAAAGGUUCCUGUCCUGCUGUCUGGGGGAGAGUUUUGGCAGCCUGCCCAACCAACUGUUGCCCGGAGUACUCCCAGGUGCGGGGAUGAGUGGCAUUGGCAUCAACAUAACUGAUAGCUCUCAAUAUGCUGCAUCAGUAAAAGCACACAGACAAAUGACGCUGGCCAUGGAGUCACACCAGCCUCAGCAGGACCUGUACAGAUCAGCC